ACCUAGUGCUGGAUAUGACACAAAUUAGUAUUAAAUUUGGAUAGACUCUUAUAUACUCCCUCGGAUUAGUAUUUUUAUUGGUAUUAGAUGAUAAAAUAUGAAUAGUACUUUAUAUGUGACUAUUUUUAAAAAUUUUUUUAUAAAUUUUUUAAAUAAGACGGACGGUCAAACGUUGGACACGGAUAUCCACGACUGCACUUAUU
rnacentral:pre_miRNA from 1 species